AGUUAGAGGAGAAAAUAAUUCCGAAAAUUAAUCUAAAAAUCAAGUUUACCAGUCUUCUACCCAUAUCUCUCUCCCUGGCCUAGUUUCCAUCGAGUUGGCCCCACUUGUCAGUGCCUUAGGCUAGGUUCAGCCCUGUCCAACACUUCCUCCUUCUACACCUCUCUCUUGCCUAGUGGGACCCCAUUGUCAGCCUCACAUCCCUCUCCACACGGGCCCACGACUCAGACCCCGCGCGCCACGCGUGUGAGCACGCGUUGAGCGCGGAAGAGGGCGAGCUCCUCCUCCCCAUCUCCGCCGGCGACCGUACUUAACCCGACCGGCCGACCAACUCUCACUCUCUCUCGCCCCUGUCUCGUUUCGCGGAAGAACCGAGGUACCCCGCCUCGGAUUCGCCGGGAACGGGGGUGCCAACUCCGGCGCCGGUGAGAGAAGUCCUCGACGCCGUCGCAAUCCGCCAAUCUCCGGGAACGCGACCGCAUCAACUCGGAACACCGUCGCGCUCUGGACGCCGCUGCUUCGCCUUUGCUCGUCGCCCAGCUUCCACGGUUCGUGACAAGCUGAGCCACUUCGCCACGAGCUUCAUCAACCUCUGUAGAUCAAGAAUCCCGAAGGAAUCGACGCGAGGUGGACCACGGUGGGAGAUCCUCUUCUUUUUCUUCCAACUCUGGCCGCCGACGCCAUUCCUUUCUUUCUCCUUCUCUGUAGAAGCCCGGGAGUACACCGUCGACGACGACCGUAGCAGUUGCGCCGUCGCCGAACCAGUACACCGUCGCCAAGACUUCGCCGAGCCGCGUUUGAUUCUUGAUAAUUGCAUAAUCGGUGAAGAAGUGGAUUAGGUGCUAACAAUUCUCUAAUCAAGGCAAGUUUUCUCCUCCCAUCCUUUGAACACAUUGAAUCCCAUGAUUUGAGGAAUGAAAAUAUUUGUUUGCAAAGUUGCAUGUGAACUUAGACUAUAUCGGUAUUUGAAAUUGGGUUAAGGUAGUUAUGACCUAUUUGCUGCAUAUUCCACCUUGAAUAAUUGAUCCUCUUGCUGUUUGAACCCCUAGAAAUGAUUAGAGUACAUUCAUUGUGCUCAAAUGGGUUUAUAUAUGCUCUAUGUGCAACUACUUGCUUAGCCAUGCUUAGAAAUAUGCAAAUGCUCAUUCCAUCUAUAAUUAAAAUGUGAAUUUUGAUACAUGAACCCUUGCUGGAAUAAAAUGAAUAUGAUGGGUAUUUGCGAACUAAAAUGUGUAAAAUGUGAUUUUAUACUUGGGCGGCAAGUGGUGUGCAUAUGGUGUUAGUUGCAUACCGAUAGGGGAAGUGUUUGCCCAAGCCCAUAAGGACCGAACUUGUGUCACCCAUUUAAAGUUAUCCGUACA